GAUGAACGCUAGCGGCAGGCUUAACACAUGCGAGUCGAGGGGUAUAGGUUUUCGGACCUAGAGACCGGCGCACGGGUGCGUAACGCGUAUGCAAUCUACCUUUUACAGAGGGAUAGCCCAGAGAAAUUUGGAUUAAUACCUCAUAGUAUAGUACAACCGCAUGGUUGAACUAUUAAAGUCACAACGGUAAAAGAUGAGCAUGCGUCCCAUUAGCUUGUUGGUAAGGUAACGGCAUACCAAGGCGACGAUGGGUAGGGGUCCUGAGAGGGAGAUCCCCCACACUGGUACUGAGACACGGACCAGACUCCUACGGGAGGCAGCAGUGAGGAAUAUUGGUCAAUGGGCGCAAGCCUGAACCAGCCAUGCCGCGUGCAGGAUGACGGUCCUAUGGAUUGUAAACUGCUUUUGUACAGGAAGAAACAGUUCUACGUGUAGAACCUUGACGGUACUGUAAGAAUAAGGAUCGGCUAACUCCGUGCCAGCAGCCGCCGUAAGAC
rnacentral:rRNA from 1 species